UUCAAAUGAUGUAUAAACAUAUUUGCUACUUUAGACAAGGUUUACACUUUGAAUGAAACUAUAAUACACCAAGAUCUCUGAUGCU
rnacentral:snoRNA from 1 species